rnacentral:rRNA from 1 species
GACGAACGCUGGCGGCGUGCUUAACACAUGCAAGUCGAACGGAAAGGCCCUGCUUUUGUGGGGUGCUCGAGUGGCGAACGGGUGAGUAACACGUGAGUAAACUGCCCUUGACUUUGGGAUAACUUUAGGAAACUGGGGCUAAUAUCGGAUAGGAGCUACUGCUGCAUGGUGGGGGUUGGAAAGUUUCGGCGGUUGGGGAUGGACUCGCGGCUUAUCAGCUUGUUGGUGGGGUAGUGGCUUACCAAGGCUUUGACGGGUAGGCGGCCUGAGAGGGUGACCGGCCACAUUGGGACUGAGAUACGGCCCAGACUCCUACGGGAGGCAGCAGUGGGGAAUAUUGCACAAUGGGCGGAAGCCUGAUGCAGCAACGCCGCGUGCGGGAUGACGGCCUUCGGGUUGUAAACCGCUUUCGCCUGUGACGAAGCGUGAGUGACGGUAAUGGGUAAAGAAGCACCGGCUAACUACGUG